AUUGAACGCUGGCGGCAGGCUUAACACAUGCAAGUCGAGCGAGCGGCGGACGGGUGAGUAAUGUCUGGGAAACUGCCUGAUGGAUGGGGAUAACUACUCGAAACGGUAGCUAAUACCGCAUACCAUCAGAUGUGCCCAGAUAGGAUUGGCUAGUAGGUGGGGUAAUGGCUCACCUAGGCGACGAUCCAUAGCUGGUCUGAGAGGAUGACCGGAUACACUGGAUGUAAGACACGGUCCAGACUCCUACGGGAGGCGGCAGGGGGGAAUAUUGCACAAGGGGCGCAAGCCUGAUGCAGCCAUGCCGCGUGUGUGAAGAAGGCCUUCGGGUUGUAAAGCACUUUCAGCGAGGAGGCGUUACUCGCAGAAGAAGCACCGGCUAACUCCGUGCCAGCAGCCGCGGUAAUAC
rnacentral:rRNA from 1 species